CGGCAACAGCUCAAAUUUGAAAUCUGGCUUCGGCCCGAGUUGUAAUUUGUAGAGGAUGUUUUUGGCGCGGUGCCUUCCGAGUUCCCUGGAACGGGACGCCACAGAGGGUGAGAGCCCCGUAUGGAAGGUUACCAAGCCUGUGUAAAACUCCUUCGAC
rnacentral:rRNA from 1 species